rnacentral:rRNA from 1 species
UGGGGAAUAUUGCACAAUGGGGGAAACCCUGAUGCAGCGACGCCGCGUGAGCGAAGAAGGUUUUCGAAUCGUAAAGCUCUGUCCUAUGAGAAGAUAAUGACGGUAUCAUAGGAGGAAGCCCCGGCUAAAUACGUGCCAGCAGCCGCGGUAAUACGUAUGGGGCGAGCGUUGUCCGGAAUUAUUGGGCGUAAAGGGUACGUAGGCGGUCUAUUAAGUCAGGUGUGAAAGCGUGAGGCUUAACCUCAUUAAGCACUUGAAACUGAUAGACUUGAGUGAAGGAGAGGAAAGUGGAAUUCCUAGUGUAGCGGUGAAAUGCGUAGAUAUUAGGUGGAAUACCGGUGGCGAAGGCGACUUUCUGGACUUUUACUGUCGCUCAGGUACGAAAGCGUGGGGAGCAAACAGG